UACGGGGGGGGCAAGCGUUGUUCGGAAUUACUGGGCGUAAAGCGCACGCAGGCGGUUUGUUAAGUCAGAUGGGAAAUCCCCGCGCUUAACGUGGGAACUGCAUUUGAAACUGGCAAGCUAGAGUCUCGUAGAGGGGGGUAGAAUUCCAGGUGUAGCGGUGAAAUGCGUAGAGAUCUGGAGGAAUACCGGUGGCGAAGGCGGCCCCCUGGACGAAGACUGACGCUCAGGUGCGAAAGCGUGGGGAGCAAACAGG
rnacentral:rRNA from 1 species